rnacentral:rRNA from 1 species
UACGUAAGGACCGAGCGUUGUCCGGAAUCAUUGGGCGUAAAGGGUACGUAGGCGGGUCAUUAAGUUAGAAGUCAAAGGCUAUAGCUCAACUAUAGUAAGCUUCUAAAACUGGCGACCUUGAGUAAUGGAAGGGAAAGUGGAAUUCCUAGUGUAGCGGUGGAAUGCGCAGAUAUUAGGAGGAAUACCGGUGGCGAAGGCGACUUUCUGGCCAUUAACUGACGCUGAGGUACGAAAGCGUGGGUAGCAAACAGG